rnacentral:rRNA from 1 species
ACGGGAGGUAGCAGUGGGGAAUAUUGCACAAUGGGGGAAACCCUGAUGCAGCGACGCCGCGUGAAGGAAGAAGUAUCUCGGUAUGUAAACUUCUAUCAGCAGGGAAGAUAAUGACGGUACCUGACUAAGAAGCCCCGGCUAACUACGUGCCAGCAGCCGCGGUAAUACGUAGGGGGCAAGCGUUAUCCGGAUUUACUGGGUGUAAAGGGAGCGUGGACGGAAAGGCAAGUCUGAUGUGAAAGGCAGGGGCUCAACUCCUGGACUGCAUUUGAAACUGUUUUUCUUGAGUACCGGAGGGGUAAGCGGAAUUCCUAGUGUAGCGGUGAAAUGCGUAGAUAUUAGGAGGAACCCCGGUGGCGAAGGCGGCUUACUGGACGGCAACUGACGUUGAGGCUCGAAAGCGUGGGGAGCAAACAGGAUUAGAUACCCUGGUA